CCUUCGAUAGCUCAGUUGGUAGAGCGGUGGACUGUAGAAAGUUGUGAUGGUUAUCCAUAGGUCGCUGGUUCGAAUCCGGCUGGAAGGA
rfam:Ciona savignyi cont_32991, whole genome shotgun sequence.